UGUCCCAUAGUAUAAAGGUAGUACAACAGAUUUUGAUUCUGUCUGUCGAGGUUCGAAUCCUCGUGGGACAACCG
rnacentral:tRNA from 1 species